rnacentral:rRNA from 1 species
AACGAACGCUGGCGGCAGGCUUAACACAUGCAAGUCGAACGCCCCGCAAGGGGAGUGGCAGACGGGUGAGUAACGCGUGGGAACGUACCCUUCGCUUCGGAAUAGCCCCGGGAAACUGGGUGUAAUACCGGAUACGCCGUAUUGGGAAAGAUUUAUCGGCGAAGGAUCGGCCCGCGUUGGAUUAGCUAGUUGGUGGGGUAAUGGCCUACCAAGGCGACGAUCCAUAGCUGGUCUGAGAGGAUGAUCAGCCACACUGGGACUGAGACACGGCCCAGACUCCUACGGGAGGCAGCAGUGGGGAAUCUUGGACAAUGGGGGCAACCCUGAUCCAGCCAUGCCGCGUGAGUGAAGAAGGCCUUAGGGUUGUAAAACUCUUUCGCCGGUGAAGAUAAUGACGGUAACCGGAGAAGAAGCCCCGGCUAACUUCGUGCCAGCCGCCGCGGUAA